GAGGGCUCUUGACAGCGGGCGGUAGGGCACACUUCGCCAGCACUAGUCUAGUCGUCUUCCUCCCCUCGACGAAGAGGGCCGCCGCCGCCGCUGGAGCUUGUCCGGGAAAACUCGCCCCGUCCGACCCGUCAUCGUGGGUGUAGAGGCCAUGGAAAAGGCGAGCGCCAAGCGUCGGGGGCAACGGCGAAUGUCCGAACGGCGGUAAUUGUAGUCGGCUGCCCAAGUUUGAUGCUGGGGGCGCCUGCCAAUCUCCAUGCGUCUUCAUUCAGAUCUGCAGUUUUGGUGGUGAGUGGUGACGGAUUAUUGACUGACCUGUGCUCACGGAACGGAUGGAUUCCUCCGAGAAGAGGGCCAGAGCCGCAACUGCCGCCGCCGGCCUCACCGAUGACCUCAUCGUCGACAUACUGUCUCGCCUGCCGGUCAAAUCGGUCUGCCGAUUCAAGUGCGUCUCCCGUCACUGGCACGGCCUCAUCUCUCACCCGGAGCACCGCAAGAACAUUCCCCAGACAGUAUCUGGCUUCUUCUACCCUCACUACCUGUUGAACCAAGAGGACGAGAUAACAGCUAUUCCCGAAUUCAUCCGCAUCAGGGGGACCGAAGAACCUCCAUUUCUGGACCCUUCGUUGCCCUUCUUGCCUGGCUACAGGUGGAUCCGUCCUAGGGACUGCUGCGGUGGCCUUCUCCUCAACAUGUGCUGGAAGGUGAAUCCCAGAGAUGAAUUCAAUUACGUGGUGUGCAACCCCGCUGCUGAUACAUGGGUAGUCCUGCCUGAGCCCCUUAACAACAGCCCAGUGUCUACAGUGCGUUUGGGUUUCGACCCGGCUGUCUCCUCCCACUUCCAUGUGUUCCAGCUCCUAGAGGAAGAUCAGUACGGAUAUAUCACUGGCCUGGAAAUUUACUCAUCGGAAACUGGAGCGUGGAGUCACAAGGAAAAUGGUUGGAGUGAUGAGGUUGUGCCGAUCGGGGAAAGAGGUGUCUUUAUGAAUGGAAUACUCCAUUUGAUCUCCUCUGAGUCCACUAUACUGACAGUUGACAAGGAAGGGAAGACAUGGAGGACCAUUCCUUUGCUGGAAAGUAUGAGUUUUAAAAACUUUGCUAACGGCCCUGUUGCUUUUAUUGGUCAAUCACAGGGGCGCUUGUGCUAUAUAAAUACUAGGAGACAUCUCAGUUCUAAAAUAUCAGUCUGGAUUCUUGAAGAUUAUAGUGCGGGUCAAUGGAUGUUUAAGUAUAAUGUUAGCACUUCCCAGCUUUGCGGAAAGGUGGAUCUCAUGUUCGAGCGGGAUUAUUCUUUAAUCGCAAUCCACCCAGAGUGCAACGUGAUUUUCGUUGUUUGGAAAUGUGGGAAUCUGCUAAUGUCAUAUGACAUGGAUCAUGGGAAAGUUUGUGUUAUAUGUAGUCUCACAGAGCCUAUGUAUGAUGCAUUUCUACCAUAUUUUCCAUAUGUUCCUUUUUUCUCAGACUCACUGGCUGAUCAAAACUAGAAGCCCAACACAAAAGGUGAAGAUCAACAACUGUGGCUACAAAAUGCUAUGGAUGUCUUCUCAUGGGCUGGGACUUCGGUGGUGACCAAAUUAAAUCAUGAGGAUAGGACUACAGCACAUCUUUAUAUUAUACCCAAGAAUUGUUGGAAAAGUAGAGGUGAAACUUAUCGGAAUCAGAUGAAAAUAUCAAGAAAUGUUUCCUAACUCACCCUUUUUAUUGGGUCGGAAAUCAAACUCGGAAACCAUAAUAAAGCCAAAUAUAAAUACAAAGUCAGAGUUAUCAGUCUAAUGUGUUUGGUUGAGCUGUGAAAAAGCUGCUAUGGGUUGUGAACCGUGAGAAAGCUAAAGUCAUUUGUUUGAACAGUUAUGGCUUUUGGAAAGACAUGUCCACCACCCAAUCCAUAAUUAAGAUGUGGAUCAUACAUUUGCAUAUCAUCGUGUUUCCGAUGGAAUGAUUUACGACUGAUGGUGGGUCAUUUGUGGAAUUCUACUUUUAUUCAAUGUCAGAAGACUGUUAUUUCUGAAGAGAGAAAAGAAGAUGGUGCAGUAGUUUACACGGUCUUUUGGUCUUUUUCUGUUAUUUUCAAGUUACAUGGCUUAUCGGCAGGCGCCAGAAGGCCUUAACAAGGAUGUGCUUUUGUGUGUGGAAGCAGACGUUUAUACUAAGGGCCCAUUUGGAUCCUAGAAACUGAAUCUUGUUCUUCAGUAAUAAGAUUCCAGCAAUUGCUUUCAAAGAUGGUAGAUUUUUGUUGGAAACUACUAGUAUUCUUGUCUGGGUGUACAUAGAAUUUAUCUCCAAGAAUGAUAGAUUACAAAAGCUA